UGGGGAAUCUUGGACAAUGGGGGCAACCCUGAUCCAGCGAUGCCGCGUGAGUGAAGAAGGCCUUCGGGUCGUAAAGCUCUUUAGGUUGGGAAGAAGGUUGCGAGGGGAAAUACUUGUAAUUUGACGGUACCGACAGAAUAAGCACCGGCAAACUCUGUGCCAGCAGCCGCGGUAAUACAGAGGGUGCGAGCGUUAAUCGGAGUUACUGGGCGUAAAGGGCGCGUAGGCGGUAGAAUGAGUGUGAUGUGAAAGCCCUGGGCUUAACCUGGGAAGUGCAUCGCAAACGAUUUUGCUGGAGUAGAUGAGAGGGUGGUGGAAUUUCCGGUGUAGCGGUGAAAUGCGUAGAGAUCGGAAGGAACGUCGAUGGCGAAGGCAGCCACCUGGCAUCAUACUGACGCUGAGGCGCGAAAGCGUGGGGAGCAAACAGG
rnacentral:rRNA from 1 species